rnacentral:rRNA from 1 species
AUACGGAGGGUGCGAGCGUUAAUCGGAAUUACUGGGCGUAAAGAGUGCGUAGGUGGUUGACUAAGUUAUCUGUGAAAUCCCUGGGCUUAACCUGGGCAGGUCAGAUAAUACUGGUUGACUCGAGUAUGGGAGAGGGUAGUGGAAUUUCCGGUGUAGCGGUGAAAUGCGUAGAGAUCGGAAGGAACACCAGUGGCGAAGGCGGCUACCUGGCCUAAUACUGACACUGAGGCACGAAAGCGUGGGGAGC